rnacentral:rRNA from 1 species
GACGUAGGGGCGCGAGCGUUGUCCGGAUUUAUUGGGCGUAAAGAGCUCGUAGGCGGCUUGUCGCGUCGUUCGUGAAAAACCUGCAGCUCAACUGCAGGCUUGCGGUCGAUACGGGCAGGCUGGAGUUCGGUAGGGGAGACUGGAAUUCCUGGUGUAGCGGUGAAAUGCGCAGAUAUCAGGAGGAACACCGGUGGCGAAGGCGGGGUCUCUGGGGCCCGAUACUGACGCUGAGGGAGCGAAAAGCGUGGGGGGAGCGAAACAGGGAUUAGAAAACCCC